AAUAGAUACCCAGGUAGUCCACGCCGUAAACGAUGAGUGCUAAGUGUUAGGGGGUUUCCGCCCCUUAGUGCUGCAGCUAACGCAUUAAGCACUCCGCCUGGGGAGUACGGUCGCAAGACUGAAACUCAAAGGAAUUGACGGGGGCCCGCACAAGCGGUGGAGCAUGUGGUUUAAUUCGAAGCAACGCGAAGAACCUUACCAGGUCUUGACAUCCCAUUGACCACUAUGGAGACAUAGUUUUCCCUUCGGGGACAACGGUGACAGGUGGUGCAUGGUUGUCGUCAGCUCGUGUCGUGAGAUGUUGGGUUAAGUCCCGCAACGAGCGCAACCCUUGUUCUUAGUUGCCAUCAUUUAGUUGGGCACUCUAAGGAGACUGCCGGUGACAAACCGGAGGAAGGUGGGGAUGACGUCAAAUCAUCAUGCCCCUUAUGACCUGGGCUACACACGUGCUACAAUGGACGGUACAAACGGUUGCCAACCCGCGAGGGGGAGCUAAUCCGAUAAAAACCGGUUCUCAGUUCGGAUUGUAGGCUGCAACUCGCUACA
rnacentral:rRNA from 1 species